rnacentral:miRNA from 10 species
UUUCAUCUAUUAGGUUGAUGCAAAAGUAAUUGCGGGUUUUGACAUGAAAAGUAAUGGCAAAAACCGCAAUUACUUUUGUACUAACCCGAUACUUCACAGUUUUAGACCAGAC